rnacentral:lncRNA from 1 species
GAUGCCCUCUUUGUGCCUAUAAAAGGGCAUCAUUGAUGCCUUGAAACAAGAGUUUGGGGGGCAGCUAUAAAAUUUCCCCAAAAAUCCCUCUUCAGGCUUCAGAUUUUAGAACUAAAAUAUGAAAUUCAGUUCUUCGUUUCAGCCUCCAAAAAUUAGUUUAAUUUCAGUUCUUUGAAUUUCAUAUUUAAAACACCAGAUCUGAAGUUCUUUUUUCAUCUUAAAAAAUUUGAUUCACUGUUUCAUUAGCAUUUCUUCAAUCUAGUUUCAAAUUCUGUUUUGAAUGCCUUCAUUAUGUGUUUUAUACAUGUGUUAGUAGCAUCAAGAAGAUUUGAGUUUGUGUUGGUGAUUCUUGGUUUUUUAGUUGUAAAUGAAUUCAAGUGUGUUCGGGUAAUUGGUAUUGGAUUUGGCUUGGUUUGAGUAGAUUUCAAAAGUUCCUAGUGGAUUGAACUAGUUUCUGACUAUUCGAUUUCUGUUUUCUGUUCGUAGUCUGCUGCUGUUGACUGACCUUGCUUCCUCUUCAUUCCUCAACUUACAGGUACACUUAUGUACAUAUCUUGCAAUUGGAAUGAAAUGAAGAGUGCUUCCCGUUGACUGCUUCAUAGUUGAAUUAAUGUUGUAGUUUCAAUUGAUUUUAUAUGAGCUCUAUUGUAGCGUAAGCUUACAGAACUAGGACAUUGAUGGUUUUCUUGGAAAUUACUAUCGAGUUAUAGGGACUGUGAACUAGAACGUUGGUUUUGAUUUGUUUAAACCUGAACCUUAUAACUUUCAUUUGAACUUUUGGGCUGACUGUAACUAAAUAAGGAUAGAAACAUGUCAGAUUUUUAUAUUAUUGUUACUUCCAGCUUACUAUGCAAUUAAAAGUAAUCGAUUUCAAGCCAGAUUGCAAGGAGUUUCGUGAGUGAACACUGUUUGGUUCAUGUGAGUAAUAUGGUAUAAUAUUGACACCAUGUUUAAUUAGUUAUAAGAAUUUGGAACUAAAAAGGUUGAUAUAUUUCUAUUUUUUAAUCACGAAUCAAUCCAAUUAACUUGAUAUUGGAGGGUUCAAUGCAAUUUAAUAAGUACAACCACUGAGAUUCGAACCCAGUUUCUUGGUAUUCUGUACAUUCGGAUUCAGUGUUAGUUAGGCCAAAUAAUUGUCGUCAUCUGUUUGAUAUAUCAGAUCCCUAUGUAUGUAAAUUGGAAGGCCAAGUCCACCAUACACAUUUGGCAAUUGGACUUGGCGAAACGUUGCUGGAUUCGAUUCCACUGUCUCCCUACGCAGAUGGUUAGUUUUUGGAUUGAGAUAGAUUUCAGGCCCAGUUUCGAAGUCCUUUUGCCUGAUACGCUUGAAUGGGCUUUCUGCGGGUUUAUCGGCAAUUGAUCCAUUGAUUGUAAUUUGAUGUGUGUCUUUGAGUUAGGUAGUGGAUUUUAAAAUAAAAGGUUCGUCCUUUUGUUUGGACAUGUACAUUAACUUAAGGCCCAAAUUUUGAAUAUGAUUAAUGAGGACUUUCUUUUCAUUAUUA